UACGUAGGGUGCGAGCGUUAAUCGGAAUUACUGGGCGUAAAGCGUGCGCAGGCGGUUGUGCAAGACAGAUGUGAAAUCCCCGGGCUCAACCUGGGAAUGGCAUUCGGGACUGCAAGGCUGGAGUGCGGCAGAGGAGACUGGAAUUCCUGGUGUAGCAGUGAAAUGCGUAGAUAUCAGGAGGAAUACCGAUGGCGAAGGCAGGUCUCUGGGCUGACACUGACGCUCAUGCACGAAAGCGUGGGGAGCAAACAGG
rnacentral:rRNA from 1 species